GGAGAGAUGGCCGAGUUGGCUGAAGGCGCUCGCUUGCUAAGCGAGUAAGCGAUCAAAAAUCGCUUCGAGGGUUCGAAUCCCUCUCUCUCCG
rnacentral:tRNA from 1 species